rnacentral:ncRNA from 1 species
UUGGUUCCGGUUCACCUCAACCCGCUGGUCAGCAGGAUCGGCGGCGAGGACCCGGCGGCC